GGUGUCUUUAGUUUAUGCGGUAAAACACUAGGUUGUGACCUUAGAGAACAGGGUUCGAAUCCCGGAGAUACCC
rnacentral:tRNA from 1 species